CUUAGGUUAAGUUGCAAACCGUUAGUUUUCAAAACUGGAGAUUUAUAGUUUAAGG
rnacentral:tRNA from 1 species